rnacentral:rRNA from 1 species
GUGUCAGCCGCCGCGGUAAUACGGAGGAGGCAAGCGUUAUCCGGAAUUAUUGGGCGUAAAGCGUCCGCAGGCGGCUUAUCAAGUCUGCUGUCAAAGACUGGGGCUCAACCCUGGGAAGGCAGUGGAAACUGAGAAGCUAGAGUGCAGUAGGGGUAGAGGGAAUUCCCAGUGUAGCGGUGAAAUGCGUAGAGAUUGGGAAGAACACCGGUGGCGAAAGCGCUCUACUGGGCUGCAACUGACGCUGAGGGACGAAAGCUAGGGGAGCGAAAGGGAUUAGAUACCCCUGUAGUCCUAGCCGUAAACGAUGGGUACUAGGCGUAGCUUGUAUCGACCCGAGCUGUGCCGAAGUUAACACGUUAAGUACCCCGCCUGGGGAGUACGCACGCAAGUGUGAAACUUAAAUGAAUUGACGGGG